AAGUACAUAAUAUAGAGUGAGAGAUAGUGUUACAUGUUGAGCUAUUGCAUUACAUAUGCGACAUCCAUGGCAUGAAUAUAUUAUUGUAUUAUACUACUCAUAUUUCAUUUUAUGGAUGUUGAUAAGGCAUUGACUUGUUGCCCAUUUGGCAUGCCCAUAUGCAUUAGUCUGCUAUCAAGUAGCAAUUGAGACGUUGUUCGUCGAUAAGCAGGGUAUGUUUAUUGCAUGACAUGGCUGUCCUUGGUGUCUUCGGGGCAUAAAGGAGGAGAUUUUUAGGAAUCGAUAUAAUUUACCAUACUUGCACCAUUAUGCAUUAAUGUGGCUCGUAUGCAAGGAGCAAACUUGCAGGUAUUCGGAUGAGUAGAGUUUGUGUGACAGUGUAUACUGAUGACUGAGAGCCUUUGAGGUGUCGCAAAUACGCAUCAUGGUGUGCUUAGAACUUGCAAGUAUCUUAGGAUGUCAGGUUCUCUAAGACUUGGGUCUUUAGACGUCUAGAGUUCGCUAGGACUUGCAGGUGUUUUUCCUAUAUCUAGGGCUUGUUAGGGCUUGGAUGUGUGUUCCAAUGCCUGAGAGUGAGUUUUUAUGAUGGUGCAUGUUUCCUAUAUCUCAUUAAUUAAUCUUCAGUGGGAUGAAUA
rnacentral:lncRNA from 1 species